UAUGUGUAAUAAAUGGUCUUCAAAGAUAAUGUUUUUAAGCAUUUUCUUAAUUUAUAUUAUUGGCUCACCAACUAUUCCCAGGAAAAAUGAGGUGGAAUACUUCCAAAUAUGCCCUUCUCACCUUCCUCCGCACACCUCCCUGUCUGCCAAAAUCUUGUUUUCACAGUUGUAUUUUGUUACUGAUGCUCACUCUGUGUGGUCCUUUCUAAUAAGGAAAUAAAGAAAUACCCCUAUUGAUUUUCUCUCUUAUUGUAAUCCUAGACUCUUGGGAAAUUGGAGGGCCAGUUAUUUGCUCUGUCUCUUCCUUUCUUUCUUUCUUCCCCAGAUCUGAGCCUAUUGGGUGGAAACCAUAUUGGUGCCUCAUGACUGGGGAAUGGAAUAGAUGUUCAUCUCAUGCUUUUCUCUAGGAAUGUCUGUACCUGCAGUCUAACCAUCAUGGCUGAACUGUCAGAUUAGUCAGUGAAACUGUUGGUUCUUUUGAAUGAAUUAAUUGGAUGGUUAGCCAUAGUGGCAAGCCACAGUCCUGAACUAACAGGGUAAAAUGGUGGUUCUUACAAGGAUAACCUAAAUUAUUUACAGAAAAAUGUAGAGCAGUGUCAUGGUCUGUAUAUAUCCUGGAAAAUACAGACCUAAUGUCAUCUGGCUCUGCCAUUGCACAGAUAGGAUGUUAAUUGGACAACAUUCCUGCUUUUAAUUUAGCACUCGGAUGUACUAUGUGAGUAAAGGUUUAAAUGGAAUAUUUCUAAAGUAUUACUGUGUUGAACUAUAUUCAAAUUUGGAGAAAAAAAUCAAUUCUUUUUAGAGUAAGGGCAAUUGAAAAUUUAAAACAACAAAAUGCUAGAAAUUAUGAGUUUAGCUUAAAACUCUGUCAUUAACACAUCCCUUUGGAAUAAAACAGAGAACAAUGCAUUCUCACACUGCUACUGUGCCCUUUGUUCUGCAAUCCUAGAGCACUUAACAAUGAAUACAGUUAAAAUUAGCAUCAAAGUAGAUUUCCUAAAGGAAUUAUUGUAGACAAAUGGAAACAAAACAAAUCAGCUUAAAGUUUAGAUUGAAGAAAUUAACCAUGGGGAUUUUCUUUAUUUCAUUUCACAAUGUCUUCCAAGUCAGAGGCCAGGUGCCUACAGAUUUAAAACUGAGUUAGAAUUUGGCUGGUAGUAACAGCAAACACGACAUAACUGAUCUUCAUACAGUAUAUUAUGUGUAGGCACCUACUGCUUAGAUAGAUACAUUAACUUCUUCUAUCCUCACAAUGAUCCUAUAAGGUAGUGUAUUAGUUUCCUUGCACUGCUGUAACAAAUUGCCAAAAAAUUGUAGGUUUAAAACAGCAGAAAUUGGGGUGCCUGGGUGGCUCAGUCAGUUAAGCGGCUGCCUUCGGCUCAGGUCAUGAGCCUGGUGUCCUGGGAUCGAACCCCACAUCCGGCUCCCUGCUCAGCAGAGAGCCUGCUUCUCCCUCUCCCUCUGCCUACUUGUGCUCUCUAUCUCUCUGUCAAAUAAAUAAACAAAAUCUUUAAACAAAACAAAACAAAAAAACCAGAAGAAAUUUAUUCUCUCACAAAUCUGGAGGCUAGAAGCCCAAAAUUCAGCAAAGAUGCACUACCUCUGGGGCCUCAUGUGAAGAAUCCAUUCUUUGGCUCUUCCCCGCUUGUGGUGGCUGUUGGGAUUCCUUGACUUAACAGCUGCAUCACUCCAAUCUCUGUCUGCGUGGUUACAUUGGCUCCUCCUCUUCUGCCUGUGUGUCCUCUGGGAGUCUCUUAUAAGGAUACUUGUACUGAUUUAGGGCUCGCCUGAAUAUUCCAGGAAAAUGUCCUCAUCUCAAGGUCUUUAGCUCAAUUACAUUUACAAAGACCCUUUCCCAAAUUAAAGUAACAUUCACAGGUUCCAGGAAUUAAGACAUGGACAUACCUUCUGGACCACCAUUCAACACACUAUAGGUAGAUAGUAUUAUUACAUCCAUUUUACAAAUGAAGAAAAUGAAGCCUACCAGCUAAAGUUUGUUGGACUAUGUGCCAGGCAUCAAUCUAAGUCUUGUGUAUACACUAUACUAUCUAUUUAAUAUUCAUAAACAUCCCAUGAGGUAGGUACAAUUAUUAUUAUUGGCAUUUUACAGAUAACGAAACUGGGGCUGUCUGAGAAUUUGCUCAAUAUUACAGAGCUCGUAAAUGGUGAAGCCAGGAUUCAAAUGCAGGACUAAAUUAUUCCAGAGCCUACACACUGAAACACUGAGCCACCCUAUUCCUCCAACUUCCAUCAUCUACACUGAGAGGAUCAGCAUUGUGGGAACCUUACAAGAUGUUGAGGUUUUUUUUUUUUUUUGAUUCUAUAAAAAGGAGCCAUCAAGGGAUCCUGCUGCCCCAUCCUAGAAGGAGAAUAGACCAAUAUUUAUAUCCUGACCACCAUAUGUCCACUUAUCUCUUAAAGCAAUGCCUCGAAGAUUCUUCUAAGAAAGAGAAAGCAGAUACCAAAUAGUGGCUCAUAUAAAAGCAUCUUCUUCAUCCUGAAUCUGAUAUUUAAAUGGUUGAUAUGAAGAAUGCUGGAGAAAUGUAGUUAGUAUUCUCAUACACAGAAGAGAUUUAACUUUAUUUCUAAGUAAAAAAGGUUACAAUCUCAAAAAAGGGAAGUAUUUUGUGUCCCUGACCAUUUCAAGAAUCUAAACCUAAAGCCAAAUCAAUAGUGUUUCACAGUUUCACAGCCUCCGUCUUACCUAGCUCGCAGCUCUGCACGCUAACCCUAAGAUUCUCCCCUAGAAUUACCUGGGGGCACAUUGAACUGUUACAGAUGGUGGCCCACUCAGAGAUUGUACUGAUCGAAGUGGGGCCAAGGCAUUUAAGAGCCUGAAAUUCUCAUUACAGCUAACUUUUAGGAAUGAUAAUUUAAGUAUUGUUUAUAAUAGGGAGAGAUAGAAAAUGAUUUAAAUAUCCUUAAAAUGUUGUUUUCGUGGCAGAGGUAAUGAGGCAGAAAAGUACUGACAACAUAUUGUAGUAUGAAAAGCUCAGGUUUACAUGAAAGAACAACAAACAAAUGGUCCUGCUCCAAGUAGAUGUAUGAAAGUUUCCAUAGCAUGCUCUCAAUUUUUCACUCAAAAAUAAAGUUAGCUGAAUUUGACUUCUCCGUGACUCCUAAUUGGUCUUCCUUUGUGGAGUGUGUAUGAAAAAUAAUGGAUGAGAAAGAGAGAGAGAGAGAGAGAGAGAGGGAUUUUUAGCAGCCGUGCCGUGCCGCUCACUGGGACUCCUAGGAUGAAUCUGGAUGCUAAAUUUGGAGGUGCCUUACAUUGCCCAGACUCCUAGAGGUGCAGAGCUCCCAGACCGGCUGACUGAGGAGGAAGUAGACAAAGGGAAUAUGUCACCAUAACCUUAGACUCAGGGGCACAAGUUUUUAAACUCCAAAACCCAAAAUGCUGCUAAAAAUGGAACAGUUGAUAAACUCAGACUGAGCACCUUGGGCAGUUUGAUCAAAGGAAGAACAAGGUGUGGUUAAAUUUGUCAAAUAAAACUGACGGGAUUUCCCACCCCCCACUCCCCAUAUUUAAGAAGGUUGAGGGAGAGAAAUGACCGUCAGGACUUUUGUCAUCCUUUCUUGGGCUUCCUGGAUCCUCAGGACAGAUGGAGCUCUGCUGGGCCCACUGUGGUGUGUCAUUACCUGUGCUUUUAGACUAAACUCAGAGGAAAACAAAUGUCACACCUAAAGACUUAGGGAGGAAUUGCUCUGACCACAUUUUAAAGGUGAAGUGGCUUAGGCCCAGGGAAAUCCUGUGAUCAGAUACAGGCUGAGGGCCAGUCCAGCUGAGCCUCCUGUCCACCUACUGCAUUCCCACCUCAAACGUGUCAGGGCAACUGUCUCCUAACCCAAUCACGUCUGAGCAGGGACAAGUCAAAACACCGAGCUGGGAGGGAACCUGUGAGCACAGGACAAAUUCUAUCCUCUGAGUUCUAGAGAUGGGGAGAGAGAAGCUCCUGUGUGCCAUGCUUUGCUACCUCAAGGAUGAGCAAAACAUAGACCCAAGACCUGAUUUAGCCUAGCUUACUAAUGUCCUAAGAUUUUUAGGAACCCAGAAAAAAAACUAAUCUAAAACACAGAGCCUACGAGGUUGAAUUUUAAUCAUCUCCAUUAGCAUUUAGUAAGGACUCAGGAUUUUAGUAUCCUAGUCCUGUCAAAAUUGAUGUAAAGCAAGUGUACACAAGGACAGAGUCAGGGGGCACCUGGGUGGCUCAGUCGUUAAGUGUCUGCCUUCGGCUCAGGUCAUGAUCCCAAGGUCCUGGGAUGGAGCCCUGCAUUGAGCUCUCUGCUUGGCAGGGAGUCUGCUUCUCCUUCUCCCUCUCUCUCUGUCCCUGCUCUCUAUCUCUCACAUGCACGUACACGCUCUCUCUCUCUCUAAUAAAUAAAAUCUUAAAAAACAAAAAAAGACAGAGUCAGGAGGGCAAAAGUUUAAGCCUUUCAUUAAAAAAAAAAAAAGGCAUUUGAAACAGUGCAAGUCCUCAAUACUGGACAGGGGGCUAGUGUAUGUUGGGAGAGUUUGGACCUUAGAACGAAUUGGAAUACAUACGAAAUAACCAACACAACAUCUGUGUUUUCCUUGGAGGAAUAUAUUCAGUAAUAAACCAGGUAUUUUUAUUCUAUUCUACUCCUAUUCUAUUCUAUUUUAUUCUACUCUGUUCUAUUAAUUUGGUCAAGGUUAACAAAGGCUGAAACUGCAGUUGCAAAUUCACUUUCCCAAGAAGUAAGGAAGUGACCCAUUAAUUUUAACUUUCUAAAUUAUAGUUAAAAAAAAAGAAAGAAAGAAAGAAAAGGAAAAGGUGACUGAAACCUUAAUGCCAUAUGGAAAUGAGAGCAGAGAGAGAGAUUUAUUUCCAGUUUUGAAAGGUAAUAAAAACAAUUGGUGGGAGGGGAAAAUAACAUUAUACUGUGGGUGGCAGAUUAUUUUGAAGUAAUCAUAUACUAAGGGGUAAAAUUGUAUGAGGUUUAGAGAAGUUUACUGAUUUUCAGAUACUCAAUUGGUUAAGGGCCAACAGGUUAGUAUAAACUGAAUAAAAAGAUGUUGUCAUUUUCUCCCAACAAAUUAAAGAGGGCUCUAAAGGUAAACUUGCUUUUUUUUUUUUUUUUUUAAUGUCUGUGACAUAAGUGGUGGUGUAUCUCACCUGCCAUCAAGCUGGAUCACUGUGGAUAGAACUGGUUGGUAAACAUCAUGCUGUAUUAUGUAUUUCCAGAGAUAUUACCUCUUAUUUAUUUGGUCAGAAGAUGGUAAUCAACAGACUAGUGCUCUCCUGAUACAGGAGGGAGCAAAAUGGGAGAUCAAAUGCUUUUUACCCUCUGCAAAUAACUGUCUGCAAAUGCACAGGUCUGUCAGGAUUCCAGAAGAUAGUGAACGCUCCACAGCUGGGGAAGCCCUGCUUCUUCAACUCUGAUGGCUGCAUCUUAUUGUCAGGUGCAAAUUAUUUAGCAACUGCCACAUUAGUUAUAGGAUGUAUCAAAGCUUUUGUCAACGGCUAGCAGCGGUGUAAUUUCUUUCUAAUCCCAUGUCUUGAAUACCGAAAAACAACAAAUCAACAAGUGUUUAGGAUUAUAUUUGGUUCUAAAUGAGAGAAGUUGGAUUCAGAAGCAAACACCCAAAGUGUGAUGAGAGAGAGGAGUUUCAGAGUAAACUAAAUAGGGCAGCUCAAGGAAGCCCAGUGUGAGGAAGGCAGUCAAAGGUGAUGCGUAUGGGGCCAUGAAGACAGAGCUGACUGUCAAGUCUGAAAGGGAAAUGAGAAAAGUCUCAAGACUGGGGGAAAGCCGUGGGAGAAGAGCUUUGGUGAGCAAUUUAGAUCUGAAGAAGCAGUAGUGCACUUGGUGAGGAAUGAAGGCUGGGAAGAAUUCCCGUCCACCCUCCCCUCAGGAAAUCCUCUGAUUUGUAGCUGGAAAGAACUGCUGUCGCGCAGAAUCCCCAGAAAGUCAGGUACCCUCAAGAACCAGCAAUACUCUGACUGCUGGAUACUUCUCAUUCCUUCAUUUUGUAAAGGAUGCUGUCCCUGCCCACAGAGUAAGAGCCUAAGGUACAAUUCAAUAACCUGUGGUCAACAGUGAAACUGAAGCUGAGACGUUACAGAGGAAGGAAGCAAAUUUUGAGAAAUGUUCACAGUUGUUGGUCUGAUUCAGUGACAGUAGGCAGGAUGGAGAAGAUGCAUUCAGACUGACAGCCUCAGAGCAAAGUUGUAAGCUUGUUUCAAGGGUCUCCUAAGCCUGAUGUCCCGAAGAGCUCCGAGUGGCCCCGGGCCAUGGGUUGGUUAUCACUGCGGUGCACGCUCGCGCUCAAACCCUGCGGGUGGUGGAAGAGGUUUCUCGGCUCAUGAGAAGUUUACAGCCUCACCGGGGAGAUAAAGUUCAAAUUAUGAAUAUUCACUACCUUGUGUGCCAUGGAUUUGGUUCCCUCUUGACUUCCAACCUCUCCUCAACAUCUUUUAGGUCUCUUAAAUUUAUAAUAAAGGUAUCUUUCAUUGGUAUUGUACUUUUCUACUCAUAAAGCUCUGUCAUGUUCACAAUCCCAUGAUCCUUGCAGCGCCGCUAGCUCACUGCCUACUUACUCGUUUCUAAACCCAUUAAACACAUCUAGAAUUCAGAUGAACCACGUCAUCCUAAAAACAACAACACAAACACAAUGCAUCUGUAGAAAAGAGAGGACUGGCUCUGUUGUAGGACAGCAGUUGUUUGAGAAUUGUAUUUGGACUACAGAAGCUAAUCUAAAAAAUCUUUGAUCAUCCACUCAUAAGUUCAUUUGUAGAUAUCUGGGCCAGUUAUCCUUUAAUUCUUACUUUUUUGGCUUGCCCUCUUCAGAGCCAUCCUAGAAAAUGCAUGAUAGGGUGGCUCGCUCCAUGGGAGGGGAAAAAUCAAAUAACGACUUGCCUGGCUUCCUGUUUAAUUCACUACCUAAAAUGUUCCUUUUAAUCGUAUUAAUGAUUUUAAAUUUUGUUACAAAUAAUUCCAAUUAAAACUAAACAAGGGAUCCUUUUCGGGAUAGAAAAAGGGAGUUUAUGGCUCAACAUACGGCCUUUUAAAAAGGUAAUUUAAUUUUGUUUCCCUUCAAAGUGAAGGGAAGAUUUCAAAGCUUUAAAUUAUUAGAAUACUUGGCUUUUGGGAAUAUAGUAAGAGGAUUAUUUUUGGUUAAAUUACUGGGACCACCCUUAAUAAUUCAUAAGAGCUACAUCAUUCAUGACUUAAGAUUGCCUUAAUUAGAGAGGAUUUUUAUCUCAUCUUCCUUUUUACUAUUAGCACUUAACUACCGUUUCAGUUUUCUCUUUGACACUCUUGGCAUCUAGAGCCAUCUUUUCAUGGGCCAGAUACAUAAUUAUUAUUUAUAUUUGGAUUUAUGAUGUUUAGAAAAUAUAUAAAACCUAAAGGAAGAAGGUAACUUUCCUUGAAAUUCAUAGAAAUGCAUCAAUUCUAAUAUUUUUGGGGUUUCGGCGAUUUUAGUGUUACUUGUCUAUCUAAAGAACAAUGUGCUUUCUGACUAUUUGGUUAAAGAAGCACAUUAGAGAGAAACGUGGAUUUGGGAAGAAAUAAAAUUUAGAAUAUUUCCAGGGAUGUUUUAAUUUGUUGACUCUCUACUGGAUUGUUUAUAAUUGUCAGACAUAAGAAUAAUUACGGAAUAAGUACUGACUCCAUCCAUAAGAAAAUUUACAGCUGUCAUUGGCUAUGCUCAGUCUCUUUCCAUGUAUUUCUUGUUUUCUUUUUUAUUUUUUUUAAGAUUUUAUUUUUAAGUAAUCUGUAUACCAACGUAGAACUCAAACUCACAACCCUGAGAUCAAGAGUCAUCUGCUCUACAGGCUGAGCCCUCCAAGUGCCCCAUCUUUCCUGGUAUUUCUUGCUGAGGGUAAUCAUUUGCAAAGGUAUCUGUAUUUUGAUAAAUGGACAAAUGAAAUAUAUUUUCGAAUUACUUUCAGUAUGAUCAAGUCCGAUUGCAAAAAAGGUGAAUGCAACCAUUCAUGGGGUUGUAAAUUAUUUUAAGACUGAGAAAAGCAAAGUGCUACAGAUUUCAAAUUUGAAAUCAAUUACAGAACAUUUAAAAUGCAACCAAACUUAUUUUGGCAAAUGUUAUUCACUGAUAUAGUAACCAAAUUAACACCUUUGUUAGCAGAGAACACCUUUGUUUCAGUAUUCUAAAAAUGGAAUAAGGCAAACUGGAACUUAGUAAGAAAGUAACCCAUAGUUUUUAUGCUAUGAACUCAUGGUUUUUAUGCUAUAAAAGCCAAGAUAACACCAUGCAAUAGAUGCAAUCCUGUUUCUUCAGGUUGGGUUCUCAUGGAUGUUUUCUAUAUACACUCAACAUUGUGCAUUAGUCCAGUAGUAUUUUUUUAAUGCACUAUGAUCGUAACCGGAGGUUUGUUCAAUAAGUUUGGGUUUUAGAGCUUGUUUUGUGUGCAAACAUACUAUCUUUGAUUUAAUUUUUUCUGACACCAUGCCCACUGCACAGUAGAGAAAAAAAGUGUAAUUGUAGUUUUGUCCUUUAUAGUACAGGACAAAUAAAUGUCAAAAUCAAAUGGUGGUAUCCCCCAAGGGAAAACACACUUCGGUGAUGAAAUAUUCUUCCUCACUUCCCAUUGCUAUUCCUCUGAACACCCAGGUGAAGCUGCCUCAGGACCUAAUCAAAUGCUACUAAUUUGCAUAUAAUAAAAACCUUGUCAUGAGAUUUUAGACUGUUACAAGGGAAAGUGCAUCACAUCUCUAAAAUGGUAAAUUAUGAAGAUAUGCAUACAUCUGUUCUGAACCUACAGUUUAUAAACACUCAGAAUAGUUUGACCAGACCAAAUCAGAUAGGAGCCCCUGCUUAUGUUGAUGUAACUGUCAGUUAAAUUCUGUGCCUAAUAAAGAUCCUUGGAAGUGGCAUACUGCUAUUUCCUAUGUUCCUUGAAAAUGCUGAGAUAUUGAU